GAUGAACGCUGGCGGCGUGCCUAAUACAUGCAAGUCGAGCGAACGGACGAGAAGCUUGCUUCUCUGAUGUUAGCGGCGGACGGGUGAGUAACACGUGGAUAACCUACCUAUAAGACUGGGAUAACUUCGGAAACCGGAGCUAAUACCGGAUAAUAUUUUGAACCGCAUGGUUCAAAAGUGAAAGACGGUCUUGCUGUCACUUAUAGAUGGAUCCGCGCUGCAUUAGCUAGUUGGUAAGGUAACGGCUUACCAAGGCAACGAUGCAUAGCCGACCUGAGAGGGUGAUCGGCCACACUGGAACUGAGACACGGUCCAGACUCCUACGGGAGGCAGCAGUAGGGAAUCUUCCGCAAUGGGCGAAAGCCUGACGGAGCAACGCCGCGUGAGUGAUGAAGGUCUUCGGAUCGUAAAACUCUGUUAUUAGGGAAGAACAUAUGUGUAAGUAACUGUGCACAUCUUGACGGUACCUAAUCAGAAAGCCACGGCUAACUACGU
rnacentral:rRNA from 1 species